rnacentral:rRNA from 1 species
AGUGGCGGACGGGUGAGUAACGCGUGAGCAUCUGCCUUCAGGUCGGGGACAACAGAGGGAAACUUCUGCUAAUCCCGGAUGAGCCUUAGGGUAAAAAAUUUAUUGCCUGGAGAUGAGCUCGCGUCUGAUUAGCUAGUUGGUAAGGUAAAAGCUUACCAAGGCAACGAUCAGUAGCUGGUCUGAGAGGAUGAGCAGCCACACUGGGACUGAGACACGGCCCAGACUCCUACGGGAGGCAGCAGUGGGGAAUUUUCCGCAAUGGGCGAAAGCCUGACGGAGCAAGACCGCGUGGGGGAGGAAGGCUCUAGGGUUGUAAACCCCUUUUCUUUGGGAAGAACAAAAUGACGGUACCAAAGGAAUCAGCCUCGGCUAACUCCGUGCCAGCAGCCGCGGUAAUACGGAGGAGGCAAGCGUUAUCCGGAAUGAUUGGGCGUAAAGCGUCCGCAGGUGGCAAUGUAAGUCUGCUGUCAAAACCCAGGGCUCAACUCUGGUCAGGCAGUGGAAACUACAUAGCUAGAGUUCGGUAGGGGCAAAGGGAAUUCCCGGUGUAGCGGUGAAAUGCGUAGAGAUCGGGAAGAACAUCGGUGGCGAAAGCGCUUUGCUAGACCGAAACUUACACUCAGGGACGAAAGCUAGGGGAGCGAAUGGGAUUAGAUACCCC